GCCGGGAUUAACGGGCAAGGCCUACAGGGCAAGAAGCGGGGAGCGCGAGCAGCGACUGCCUGCCGACCUGAGCAGACCGUUCUCCUCAGCGACUUUGCGGGAAGGGAAGGAAAGAAACAAGAUAGCAGCUAAAAGGGAAACAGGGCUGAGGAAAAGGCCAAAUAAACUCUUCCAAUCAGGUCACAAAACCUGAAGGACAACAGCAGAGCUGCUGAAAUGUCAGAGGAAGAACGAGGCACUCAGAGCACUCAGGCAGUUCUAGCAGGAUGGACGGACAAGUGUUAAAACUUCACGUGUCCUCCCUCAAAGGUACUGAUGUCUUAUCUGUCCAAUCCAACUGCGUGCUCCUGGGACAGCUAGCAUUCACAGUGCUGCUACAAGAUGCCAGGCACUGCUGCUGGGUUGGUGGACACUACUAGAUGCCAUUACCAGCCCCAUUUUACAGUUGUGGAAACUGAGACAGAGAGACAUCGGGUGACUGGCCUAAGAACACACAACUCGUAAGUGGAAAUACUGAGACACACAUUCAGGUCUGUCAGAUUCCACAGCCUACACUUUUUAACCAUUGUGUUUAACUAUACCUUGUAGUCCUUGGACUGUAGAAGGCAUACCAUAAACAAUUGAUUUUUGAAAAAUACAUUCUUUAUAUACAUUUUAUUCAACUAACAUUUAUUUGAGCACCUACUAAAUGCCAGGCACUGCAACAUCCAGUCCUAAACUCUCCAACAGAACGUACAGUCGUACGUUAAUACAUUCGCAGACUCCCAUACUUCGUUCUCAUACUUCCCAACAACUGCAAAACCUUUUGCCAGUCCUCUCUUCGCACUGCAAUAAAAUUGAUUAUAUUGAAACAGAAA